rnacentral:rRNA from 1 species
AUUGAACGCUGGCGGCAGGCCUAACACAUGCAAGUCGAGCGGAGCGGCGGACGGGUGAGUAAUGCCUAGGAAUCUGCCUGGUAGUGGGGGAUAACGUCCGGAAACGGGCGCUAAUACCGCAUACUAUCAGAUGAGCCUAGGUCGGAUUAGCUAGUUGGUGGGGUAAAGGCCUACCAAGGAGACGAUCCGUAACUGGUCUGAUAGGAUGAUCAGUCACACGGGAACUGAGACACGGUCCAUACUCGUACGGGAGGCAGCAGUGGGGAAUAUUGGACAAUGGGCGAAAGCCUGAUCCAGCCAUGCCGCGUGUGUGAAGAAGGCCUUCGGGUUGUAAAGCACUUUCAGCGGGGAGGCGUUACCCGCAGAAUAAGCACCGGCUAACUUCGUGCCAGCAGCCGCGGUAAUAC